rnacentral:snRNA from 1 species
CAAGUACCGCGAGGUAAAGA